GAUGCAUUCAAUUUGUCCUUCAAAUAUAAACAAGGAAAAAUAUGUGCGUGCAGACUCAAGAUCCAUGGCGAUUUUAAAUGCAGUCAGGAUCAUUUACUCCAGAUUCAUGCCACAUCUUCUCAUGAUUUUGGUCCAAAUUGGCUAUUCAUUUCUCUGCACCAUUGCAGAAGCUGUCUUCAAUCAUGGGAUGAACCCUCAUGUCUUCGUUACAAACCGAUAUCGUAGGCAGCUUAGUGAUGUUUCCUCUUGCAUAUUUUCUUGAAAGGUGCAUCACACACAUGCAUACACCCACCAGAUAAAUUGCAAAGAAAAGCGAGGCCAAAGCUAAUAAUUGUGUUGUUUCUGGAGAUAUGUGUGCUCUCUCUUCUAGGGUAUGAAGGGCAAUCCAUAUGCUUCAACAUAAAGCAAAACGAAACAAAAUUUUUUGUCUUUGUGAGAAAAGGAAAAGGACUUACAGUUUUCUCUUUUGACGAAAGCCAGGGCCAGCUUAACAAUUAACAUGUACUUUGCAAGCUUGAAAUACACUUCUCCUACCUUUGUUGCUUCAAUGAACAAUACCGUUCCCUCCAUGAGUUUCAUAAUUGCAAUUAUACUCAGGUUGGAGAUUGUCGAUUUAAGGAACCCUCGAGGAAUAGCUAAAACUGUCGGAACGUUACUAUCGUUGGCUGGGGUCUUGACCAUCACUUUAUACAAAGGACCUGAGGUGCAAAGCUUGCAGGGCGCACCAAUCCAUGUCAGAAGUAAUCAUGCUCAACAAAACUGGGUGAAGGGGUCUUUUCUGCUUGUUUCGAGUUGCUUUACAUGGUCUCUCUAUUUUAUUAUGCAGGUAUAGAAUUCUCCACUCUGUUAUUUCCCUUGGACUUUCUUUUUGGUCUGGCAUCAAACACAGACCAUUACUCCGAUUUCCAAUUGUGCUACAAGAGUUAUAAGAUUCUAACAUAAUAUUGGUGGCGUGGAAUGUUAAAAAAAACCAAUUAUAACUUAACAUGAGGCUAAUUCUCCUUGCUAGAGUAUCUUUGCCUUUAGAGAUGCUUGAUUUUAUCAGAGCAUACGCAUGCAAAUGAGUGCUAAAUUUUCCUUAAUUAAUCAUAGAUGUGUACCUUGUAAGCAUACACACUGAAAAGGUAUCCUGCACAACUAUCACUAGCUGCAUGGAUAAACGGCUUAGCGGCUGCACAAUCAGCUGUCUUCACUGUGUUCAUACAACACGAACCAGCAGCAUGGAGCAUCAGAUCCAGCAUUAUAUUCUGGUCCGUCAUAUUUGCUGGAGUCAUUAGUUGUGGCUUGACGGUCUUCAUUCAAUUAUGGUGCAACAAAGAAAAAGAGGCAGUCUUUGUGACCAUCUUUAGUCCUCUUGCAACCGUAAUGGUGGCAAUCACGGCUUACUUUCUUUUUGGUGAAGAGUUGCACGCAGGCAGCAUAUUGGGAGGAGCUGUUGUUAUCAUCGGACUUUACAUGCUGCUGCGGGGAAAAGAAAAUGAGCGAGAUCGAAACAAGUCCCAAGAACCAUCUCUUUCCACUUAUGAUGAGGAAAAGUUAAGCCAGUUAGCGUGGAAAGUUCAGCAGAAGACACGUAGUGAAACAGGAAGUUGAGAAAUAAAUCGAGAAUUGGGACUGAUACAAACGAGUCCUACAAUACUCAGAUCAUGAUGUUGGAAACGAAUGGCAUGGCAAAUAAAUUAAAGCUCGUUUAUUGAGCACUAAUAAUCAUUUUCUACAACAAUUAGUUAACAAAUUUUUCGAUAUUUCCAAGUGCGUAUCGAUAUCCCCAAACUAGUACAGUGAAUGUUACUGCAAACUCUCUAAUCUAAUCUUAAUCAGUAAACUUCUGCGGAAUGUUAUUACAAUGGAGUUCUACAAUCAUUGCUGAAGUUGUCUCCAUAGUAGUUUUGUUAAAUAGAUCAACUGCAAAAGGUAUAUUACAC